rnacentral:lncRNA from 1 species
CUGGUGACUGGGCAUGUCAAGAAUAAUGUUACCAAAAUGCCAAGGGUUUGGUCUAGGUCCUGUGGCUCAUCACACAUAAAGCCAAUCAAAGAGACAAUGAGUAUUGCCACGGAAGAAGGCUUUAUUUGGAUGCUGUAGCCAAGGAGUUGAGAGGAAGAACCCAAAUCAAGAGAUUUACUUCAAGUUUGAAAUAAUUUUAAGUCAAUGAUGAAGAAAUUCUGAUUUACUUAAGUAACCAAAAUAUAUUGAAAACUUGUUAAGGGAAAAUAAACAAAAUUUUCAAGAAUGUUGCUAAAUGAUGGUAGCAAAAUGAUGUAAAAAAAAAGAAGAAGAAAGAAAAAAAUUUUGCACCACUCUAUACUUAUUAAAAUGAUCAAAAUCCAGAACACUGACAACACCAAAUGCUGGUGAGGAUGUGGAGCAACAGGAACUUCCAUUCAUUGCUGAUGGGAAGGCAAAAAUGGCAAACUACUUUGGAAGACUGUUGGAAUAUACAACACCAAAAGUGAGACCUAGUGUGAAAUACGGACUCCGGAUGAUAAUGAUAUGCCAAUGUAGAUUCACCAAUUGUAACAAAUGUACCACUCUAAUGGCAGAUGUUGAUAAUGGGGAGGCUAUGAUUGUGUAAAGCGUGGGGGUAAGAGAAAUGUGAGAAAUCUCUGUGUCUUCCUCUCAAUUUUGCUGUGAACCUAAAACUGCUAAGUGAAAUCUAUUAAUAAAAUAUUGUUUUAUAUUACAGUUGAAUUAUCUAGGAUGACUACAGUAAUUGAAUUAAAUAAUUUAUCAGAUUUUCCCUUAAUAUGUUUUUUC